AGUAAUUAGCUAACUCAAUUUAAAAGUAACAACAGUUCGUUUCACAUUUGUACGAUAUCUAUUCGCGUCUCAUACGGAUCAUCACACGGCGUGUAGUAACUUUCUAUAAAUGGCAUAAAUAAGUAUUUUUAAAAGCCAGGGAUGCCAUGAAAGUUUUUAAUAAUUUUAACGUGGAGGUGAAAAGGCAUUAUGAAAAGUGUAUAAAUCCUGUGAUUUUGAACGGUCAUUGUAAUUGCGAAACGUCAAAACCUACCUAUGGAGUCAAGUUCAGGCAAUCUUUUCGAGGUACUGACAUGUGACCCAGAAACAUUUCACGGAAGUUAUGAAGAAUGGCCGUCCGUCCCGAAAAUGUUUACAGCCGUUUAUAUAAACCAUCCCAAAUAAUCAAAGACCAAAAAUUAUAUCUCCUACGAUACAACCUAGCAGCUGUAAUUGUAAGACAUUUCAUAAUAAAUAACGAUAACUUCAAUUUGGUCUGGGAAGAUCCAAAAUGAAGUUAUGAAAAUAAAAGUAUUGGUUUAUAAAUAAGUAAUGACACUAAUAAACUUGUCAAACAUCCGAAAAGAAAAAGGUGAUAGCUUUAUUAAACUCAAUGUCAAUCAUCAUCAUCAAAUGAAAAAUAUAAAUCUGACUACCGAUAGGAAAUCGUUGAAAGGCGAGAAAACGAAUUCAGCCGAAGCUUUAACAAAAGGAAAUCGUGCACAUCCGAACAGAAUAAACAUACAUUAUACUAUGUUCGGGCCAACAUUGAAAACAUCUUGAAAACACAAUUUUUGGAUUGUGGAAUCAAAGCCGUUCUGAACGACAACAUCUGUUUCCGAUACCUUUUCAUUGAAAAUUCACAAAUUUAAUUCUUAAUUUACAUCUUGAGCAACGAGAAUGCAAUAAAAUUUUAAUUAUUAGCUUUAAGAAGCGAGAUAAAUACCUUGUGCAACGAUGAUUCUUCAAGAGAAUUAAUAAAGACUAUUAUUACCCAGCACCUUGCCCUUGCAAAAAAAAUAGCGCAGUUGAUGAAACAACGACUUUGGGACACUGAUUAAAUCGUGUUAGACAAAUGAACACAAGCAGCAUUUUGGGAACAUGAUUGCCAACAAAACCGAUCUGCUUUCGCAUUAACCGAAGUUAAUUUUUAAAUUGUAGAUCUCUAGAAAGCAUUUAUGCAUUACAACCUUUCUUUGUGAAAAUAUGCAAUGCAUUUAUUUUACGUUUA